rnacentral:snoRNA from 1 species
GUGACCUUUUAAGGUAGACACUGUUUUUUAAGAGGCUAACACAGAAUGGUAAAGUAAGUCUCCAUAAAACCCAGAGAAGAGACAGAAGAGACUGUGAAACUCCUCUUUGGACGCCGUCUGGAGUCAUAGCA